GUUGCUAAUGUAAUAAUAAUUGUGGUUUUUCUUCUCUUCAUAGUCUGCAAAACUGGAAUAAAUGCCCUAUUCACUGCCAGAGAUGAGAAGCGUAUCUGCACAUCACAACUGUCUCAAGAACUACUUCUUCCUGCUUUAAAGAAACAAAAGGGGGAACAAAGAGCAGUUCUGCAUGUGUGUGUUUUAUGUAUUGGAGCUCCAUGGUAAGACAACUGCUGCUUACAUCAGUAAAGGUGACUUGCCCAAUUGUAGUAGGGAAUGAUGCAACAGCUGAGUGGAAGGACCCCAGGCUUCUAGACAGCUUCAUGGAGCAGUGCCAUCCUGACUCCCUCACUACCUUGAGCUUUCAUGUGAGAUAGAAAAAA
rnacentral:lncRNA from 1 species